UCCCUACGGGGCGCACCAGGCGCGAAACCUCUGCAAUAGGCGAAAGCUUGACAGGGUUACUCUGAGUGAUUUCCGUUAAGGAGAUCUUUUGGCACCUCUAAAAAUGGUGCAGAAUAAGGGGUGGGCAAGUCUGGUGUCAGCCGCCGCGGUAAUACA
rnacentral:rRNA from 1 species